AAGCAACGCGAAGAACCUUACCAGAGCUUGUACAUCCCGUUUGACCGGUCCGUAAUGGGACCUUCUCUUCGGAGCAAAGGUGACAGGUGGUGCAUGGUUGUCGUCAGCUCGUGUCGUGAGAUGUUGGGUUAAGUCCCGCAACGAGCGCAACCCUUAUCAUUAGUUGCCAUCAUUCAGUUGGGCACUCUAGUGAGACUGCCGGGGACAACUCGGAGGAAGGUGGGGAUGACGUCAAAUCAUCAUGCCCCUUAUGUUCUGGGCUACACACGUGCUACAAUGGCCGGUACAGAGAGACGCAAUAUCGUGAGGUGGAGCAAAACUCUAAAACCGGUCCCAGUUCGGAUUGUAGGCUGCAACUCGACUGCGUGAAGUCGGAAUCGCUAGUAAUCGCGGAUCAGCUUGCCGCGGUGAAUACGUUCCCGGGUCUU
rnacentral:rRNA from 2 species